rnacentral:rRNA from 1 species
UACAGAGGUCCCAAGCGUUGUUCGGAUUCAUUGGGCGUAAAGGGUGCGUAGGCGGCGCGGUAAGUCGGGUGUGAAAACUCGAGGCUCAACUUCGAGCUGUCGGUGGAAACUUUCUGGCUAGAGUCCGGAAGAGGAGAAUGGAAUUCCUGGUGUAGCGGUGAAAUGCGCAGAUAUCAGGAGGAACACCAAUGGCGAAGGCAGCACUCUGGGACGUGACUGACGCUGAGACGCGAAAGCGUGGGGAGCAAACAGG